UCUGCGUCACGCUGCUCGCCCGCGGGCGCCCGCCCUUGCGCGCACGUCUUGGCGCCGGGUUGCCAGCGGUGUCCGGCUAGCAGGGACCGCCGCGGGGGGUGCAACCGUCGUCCUGAGCCGUCCGCCGCGUCCCGGGUGAGCGGGCAUGCAUGGCUUCGUCCUUGGGGAGAGCGUCA
rnacentral:rRNA from 1 species